CUCUUUUCUAGAAAGAUGCUACAAACCAAGGGCCGAGUGAGAAGAAUGGUUCAUUUCCGAACAAUUCAAUCUGCUCCGAGAAACAAGGAAUUAGCCUGUGGAAGAUGCCUCAGAUUUAGAAUUCUUCUGAUCCCAAAGUGUGCUCACCAUACCUCUCAUGAGUCAAACUGCCAUUUUCCCAGCAGUAAUCAUGUGCCCAGCCUUCUCCCAUUCAGCUCUGUUGAGUUAUAAAAGCCAAAGGAAUGGAACAACAACAACAGAAAAGCUAAAUGAUUCAGCCACAAUACAGAGUGAAUCAGCAAAGGAACAAAAAAAUGUAGGGAAAGGGAAUCUGUGUGGUGUCUUGAAUAAAAGUGCCUUCCAAUAAAUUUGGUGAAUUGUCUUCG
rnacentral:lncRNA from 1 species